CUCUUUGUGUGGCUGGCUGUCUCUCUGUGUGGCUGGCUGUCUCUUUGUGUGGCUGGCUGUCUCUUUGUAUGGAUGGCUGUCUCUUUGUAUGGAUGGCUGUCUCUUUGUGUGGCUGGCUAGCUGGCUGUCUCUUUGUGUGGCUGGCUGUCUCUCUGUGUGGCUGUCUGUCUCUUUGUGUGGCUGGCUGUCUGUCUCUGUGUGGCUGGCUGUCU